rnacentral:rRNA from 1 species
UACAGAGGUCCCAAGCGUUGUUCGGAUUCAUUGGGCGUAAAGGGUGCGUAGGCGGUUGCCUAAGUCAGGUGUGAAAUCUCGAGGCUCAACCUCGAAACUGCACUUGAUACUGGGUGACUUGAGUACUGGAGGGGAGACUGGAAUUUACGGUGUAGCAGUGAAAUGCGUAGAUAUCGUAAGGAAGACCAGUGGCGAAGGCGACUACCUGGCCCACUCUUGACGCUGAGGCGCGAAAGCUAGGGGAGCAAACAGG